rnacentral:rRNA from 1 species
UAGGGAAUCUUCCACAAUGGACGAAAGUCUGAUGGGGCAACGCCGCGUGAGUGAAGAAGGUUUUCGGAUCGUAAAGCUCUGUUGUUGGUGAAGAAGGAUAGAGGCAGUAACUGGUCUUUAUUUGACGGUAAUCAACCAGAAAGUCACGGCUAACUACGUGCCAA